UUAUCCGGAUUUACUGGGUGUAAAGGGAGCGUAGACGGACUGGCAAGUCUGAUGUGAAAGGCGGGGGCUCAACCCCUGGACUGCAUUGGAAACUGUUAGUCUUGAGUGCCGGAGAGGUAAGCGGAAUUCCUAGUGUAGCGGUGAAAUGCGUAGAUAUUAGGAGGAACACCAGUGGCGAAGGCGGCUUACUGGACGGUAACUGACGUUGAGGCUCGAAAGCGUGGGGAGCAAACAGGAUUAGAUACCCUGGUAGUCCACGCCGUAAACGAUGAUACCUAGGUGUUGGGGACAA
rnacentral:rRNA from 1 species